UGGCCUUCUACACUCUCCCAUAGAUGUUCUUUCUCCAGCAUCUUUAUGUUUUCUGUCUCAAUUUCUCUUGUCCCUAGAAUAUGUUGUCUCGCCACUGUCCCAAUAUCCUUGUCCCUGGAGCCUCCUUCAGUUUAUGUCAGGGGCCUGUCUGGCCUUGGUCCUAUCACUCCAAACCGGAGGCUUUCUCUUCCCACGGCCUGGGGGUAUUUCCCUUAGGCCAUGGCUUAGUCUGGGUCUCCGAGUCCUUGAUUUUUGAGUGCCUAGACCCUGUCCCACCUAUUUUGUUUUUCUUUGGACACACACUAAAAGGCCAAGUUUGCAAAACAGCUUCUGGGCAGAUCCUUAGACAGGUAGAUCUCACUGGGGUCGCUCUGCUGGAUUUCUGAAGAAUCAGAAGUUGUCCGUGGUCCUGCUGGGUGGCCUCAAAGACUGAGGUCAGAAAGAAGGGCAUCCCAGAGUCCUAGGUUUGGGGGGCACACUUUCUGGCUUAUAAUGCAUCUUAUCUUCUUUCAUAUGUUCAGAAUCUUGCUUGGCUUGCCCCUCCCACCUAGCCCAUGUGGCUAUGUAGGCCUUUGGCUCAACCUUCAACAUUUCACGCCUCAAAUGUGCUUGCCUAUCUUACGGAAGAAAGUCUUCCCAGGCCUGAGGAAAAGGUGUGGAUCGUCAGGACUGUCCCCAUUCCAGGCAUGUUUGACAGAAGAGACCAGAGAAUACUGGUAGGCUAGACGUGAAGGUGAGCCCCCUUUGGUGGUGACUAGAAGAGACAGACCGGGUGGGCAUGAAGCUCCUUGUGGGGAGGCAGCAUCUCUACGUGGAGGACGAGGCUGGCUGGGGAUCAGCGCAUACUGGGAGCCUGGAGAGGGACUGGAGAGAACCUGUUUCUUACAGAGGGGUUUUAGAGGGAGGGGCUGAGGGUGUGCAUGGGAACGAAUGGGAAGUGAAUGUGAGCUGGCACCCUGGCUUCUCUGCCUACAUGAGGGGCAGGGUGACUGUCCAGACAAGCAUUCCCCUUGUCACUCCAGGUCACACGGCAUCUCAGGUGCUGUCUUAGGAUCUCUUGACUUCGAGUAACUGAAUCGUGAACUGAAAGCUACCUGGACGGUUAGAAUGUUCCCUUCCCGCUAAAGAAUUCAGGAGGUCUCUGGUUCCAGGGUUGAUUCUAUGGCUCAACAAGGAGAUCAAAGAGUCAAGUUCUUUCCAGAUAUCUGCUCUGCCAUCUUUAGGGGCUUAGUGAGGGCUGACCUCAUGGUCACAUGAUAGCUGCUGCACUUCGAGGCAUCAUGAGUGUAUCCAGAGCUGCCACAGGAAGAUCUUCACAUAUGCAUCUGAACGACUGAAAAUUGGGUUCUUAGGCUGGUUCAUAAAAUAAUUAAAAAAAAAAUGGUACAAAGCCAGUUUUACUAGGCUUUUCGAGAAGGGGAAAAUGGCAGGCAAACUAUAAGUCUUGAGAGGUUGCCAGGUGGAGGGAGAUGGAGAAGAGGAGGAGAGAUGCUCACAGUGGUUGACUUAGGCCAGCAUGUUGAGGGUCAGUAAGCAGUCACCUGGCAGAGUAACAGUGGAUGCAGGAGGAACAGCUUCGGAGAAAGAGGGAGAAAGCCCAGAGUGUCUGGGAACUCACACCUAGGCCUUGUCUAGCAUCUGAAAGCAAAAGAAAUAGGAGAAAAAGAACAAGUUAUGUUCUUAUGAUUAACUCAGAAAUGUAAGCAGGUUCUACAGUUGCCGUGUAAUAAACAUUCGGCAGGCAUCUGCACUGAGGGAGGGGCUUCUGGGAGAGACAAGUACAUCAUCUCAUUAAAAGGAUGACUUUAGUCUUCCCCUCCCCGUAGCAUGUCUUCAGGUAAACCAAAGCUGGAAAGGGAAGUUAGCAGGGUGGGGGUGGGCCCUGGCCAGGUGAUUGACAGGUCCAGUUGUGUUAACUCUUAAAAGGAGGAGAUAAUAGAAUAUAAUGUUGAUCUCGUGUCUUCUGGCCUGGCCAAACUAGUGGACUCUUUAUGACAUCUGUGGUUUUGACCUUUUCAGAGGGUCAUCUCUUGGGGCUCAUGUGAUAUUGAUCCUUUUCAGACUGGCUUCUCUCACCUAGUGAGGUGGAGUUGAGCUUCCCCUGGGCUCAGCAGCUUGGAGACCACCUUGUGACAGCUCCUCCCUCUCACAAGUAUUGAUUGUCUCCCUACUGAGAUGUUACCUGUGAGUAAAGGACUUCCUAGUGUCAGGCUCUCUCACCUGGGAACUGAGCUCACACACAGGGGUACCGGAUGGCCACACUUCCUGCUCCUCACCGUGGCCCACAGCUUGUGCUGUGCAUCGAGUCGGCUGUGGCUUGUGCUGUGACACCUUCCUGUCCUCAGAAGCAAACUCUCUUUUGCCAUGUGGGCUCUGAUUCCUUGUUUCAGAGUCCGGGCCAUGCUGCCUGUCCCUUGUGUUGGGACUGAGCUCCUCUUGGAGCCUCCACCAUGGCUGUUGCCUCUCUGUCUGUCUGUCUGUCCAUGUCAUCUAUAACCUUUAUCAUAAACUCUGUACUCCCUAAAAGCUGUAUCCCAUUAUAUGGAUGUGCCAGAGAGUAUCAGUCCUGCCGAAGGCCGUCUUGUUUGCUGUGUGUUUGAACUGUAGAAAUCAAACGUCUACAGACAUCAUCAAAGAGAUGCAAUAAAAGUCCAGCUUGGUUGGAGGAAAUGCCAAACUCAAACCUCUCUCUCACAGCAGCUGCCCAGAUUUGUAUUCUCGCUAGCAGAGUACGAGAGGUUUACUCAUCUUUUUAUUCCUGGUUAUUAUACAGCUGGGAGCAUUAACAAGUGAGUCUCAGUGUGUACAGAAUUUUAUGGGUAUGUGUGAGACUGUCUGUAGAGUAACGUUUCAAAAAGAUUUUUAUCUGCAAUGCUUGAAAAUGUUCAUUUCCACACCUGCAUCGACUGCGUGCUACUAAGCUUUAAUAUUUUGGCAAUUUGACAAGUGAAA
rnacentral:lncRNA from 1 species